GCAGCCAUGUUCCCAUUCCUGCUGAACAACGGCAAUCUGGCGUCAUCGUGCGCAUCUUUAAUGCAUAUAACCUGUAUUUUUCAGGGGUGCCAAUAAUUGUGGAGGGCACUGUAUGUGAAACUGGAGAGCUGACACCGGAUCUCCGCACAGUCACUUGCUAUCGGGUUUGGACUGUCACAUUGAUGAUCCCUGCCGCAUCUGGCGCACUGACGUUCAGCGGGCAUGAUUUCUAUGUGGAUCUGGCAGGUUGACACCGGAUCUGACGCACAGUCACCUGCUAUCGAGGCAGUGACAUAGAAUGUUUUGGAAGACAUUUGAGGACUUGUGAGGUCUCCUGUAUGUUCCAAGAACAAGAACCAAGCAGCGUGAGGCAGCAUUUAGUUAUUAUGCUCCUCACCUCUGGAACAAGUUAGGUGAAGGUCUGAAGUAUGCUCAAAUUGUUAGCUCCUUUAAAUCAGGGCUAAAAACGCUUUUGUUUAGCACUGCAUAUCCAUAACUGUCUAUAUAUUUCAAUGUAUUAGCUUUCUAUUCCUUUUGUGCUUUAUCUCCAUUGCUGAUUUCAAUUAUUAUCAGUAGUAGUAGUAUUUUUAAAAAAAUUAUCAUUAUUAUUAUUUUUUUCAAUUCUAUUCGUGAUUAAAUGCGAUUUUUAUGUAUAAUUUUUUAGGGCUGUCUAAAUUAUUGCGUUAACGGGCGGUAAUUAAUUUUUUAAAUUAAUCACGUUAAAAUAUUUGACGCAAUUAACGCACAUGCCCCGCUCAAACAUUAAAAUGUCAGCACAGUGAAAUGUGUACUUGUCGUGUUUUUUGGAGUUUUGUCGCCCUCUGCUGGCGCUUGGGUGCGACUGAUCUUAUAGGCUUCAGCACCCAUGAGCAAUUGAGCAUUGUGUAAGUAAUUAUUGGCAUCAACAAUGGCGGGCUACAAGUUUAUUUUUUUGAUUGAAAAUUUUACGAAUUUUAUUAAAACGAAAACAUUAAGAGGGGUUUUAACUUAAAAUUUCUAUAACUUGUACUAACAUUUAUCUUUUAAGAACUACAAGUCUUUCUAUCCAUGGAUCGCUUUAACAGAAUGUUAAUAAUGGUAAUGCCAUCUUGUUGAUUUAUUGUUAUAAUAAACAAAUACAGUACUUACUGUAUGUACCGUAUGUUGAAUGUA